rnacentral:rRNA from 1 species
UAGAGUUUGAUCCUAGCUCAGGAUGAACGCUGGCGGCGUGGAUUAGGCAUGCAAGUCGAAUGCCACACCUCCCAGGUUUUAUCUUCCUUAUGAAGAUGAUGAAGCUUGAGAGGUGUGGCAUGGCAGACGAGGUAGUAACACGUAGGAACAUGCCUCAUAGUCGGGCAUAACCCGGAGAAAUCUGGAAUAAUUCCCGAUGGUCCGAGCACCACUUUUGCUUAUAACAUCAUAUUGAUUGCAGACAGUACAAAUUUGUAGAGAAUUGAUAUGACGAUAUAAGUUUGUAGGCAAAAGUGGUGCUCGGUAAAGAUUUAUCGCUAUGAGAUUGGCCUGCGAGCUAUCAGCUUGUUGGUAGGGUAACGGCCUACCAAGGCUACGACGGCUAGGGGAGGUGAGAGCCUGACCCCCACCGAUGGAACUGAGAUACGGUCCAUACUCCUACGGGAGGCCGCAGUCAAGAACCUUCCACAAUGGGCGAAAGCCUGAUGGAGCGACGUCGCGUGAUUGAUGAAGUCCUUCGGGAUGUAAAAAUCUUUUAUACGUGAAGAAGUUUAUUGACAUUAGCGUAUGAAUAAGGGGCCGCUAAACUCGUGCCAGCAGCGGCGGUAAUACGAGUGCCCCGAGCGUUAUCCGGAAUCACUGGGCGUAAAGGAUGCGUAGGCGGUUGUAUUAGUCUUUCGUUAAAUCCCGAGGCUUAACCUCGGAACCGCGAAAGAAACGGUACAACUUGAGGACGCGAGAGGUGCAUAGAACUCACAGUGUAGGGGUGGAAUCCGUUGAUAUUGUGGGGAAUACCAAAUGCGAAGGCAGUGCACUGGCGCGUUCCUGACGCUGAGGCAUGAAAGCGUGGGUAGCGAAUGGGAUUAGAUACCCCAGUAGUCCACGCCCUAAACGAUGA